rnacentral:lncRNA from 1 species
AUCAAUCGCCGGGUUUUUUACUUUUUCCCUGUUUUACUUUGAAAUACUCUCGAUUUUUGCCGGUUUUCUAUUUGGAAUUUAUUUCUCCUUGUCUUAACCGAAACUUUAAACUCAACUGUGCUUCAGAGUCAGUGAUAAAUUGUUUGCCCUAGGUUACUUCAGGGAAGAAACACAACUUUGAAGAAACCCUUCACUCUAAAUUAUUACUGUUAUCGUUCUCUUGCUGUGCUUUUAGUUGAAAAACAACCAAGUGAUUACUACAUACUAUAUUAUUCUUUCAAUUGUGUGAGAUUUUAUUUGUAAUACUCUAUCUCUAUCAAUCUCAAUUGUUGGAAUUUCUCGUUGAGUCAACGCGGUUCGAGGUUAGAUUUUUUCAAUCGUGCGAAAAUUUACUCAAAGUGUUUAGAGUUGUCCGUUUUAAACUUCCGCUGAAAAGCUGCUUUUCUUUUUACUCUGAUCAGUUUUAUUCGCGUAUAGGUGUGUUUCACUGUUCAAUGACUCGCAUUAUUUGAGGUUGUGAGUCUUGAUUUGAUUAAAUAGUGCUACGGAACGUUGCAGAAAUGGGUGUCGCAAGUUGUAGAAAAUAUUCAAGCUGUGUCUUCAAUCUGGUCGUCGUUCUCACAUCUCUACAAUUAACUACAGGUGAGCCAAUUUUUCUUUUUAAAUGGUCUGAAUCCUUACAACUACAACUUAUACGUUUGCUGCAAGAGGGAUACUUUUCAGCCUACCUCGAAAAACGUAGACGACGUAGUAAUGUACGUAACCUCUAUACUCUUGACAGCUUAAUUCUGCUCCUUCUAAAUUUUCAGUCAGAAACGCCAUUAGCGGAUCCAGCAAAUUGGCAACAUUGUUUUUUCUUCAUUUAAACCUAUGGAAAUGUAUCGAUUAUUUGGCAAAGGUUGAAAUGGAAGAAAACCGAUGUUGCCAGAUUGCUGUAUUCGCUUCUGGAAAACGCCUCUGAAAUAUACAGAGACAAGAGACCCUCCACCAGUCCACCACUAGUAUCUCGGCCAUUGUGGAAGCUUUUACUUUCGGAACUUCAGCAUUCUUCUGUUGACUUACCUACAAGGUUGCUGUUCAACAACGUGUUG